UACGGAGGAUGCGAGCGUUAUCCGGAUUUAUUGGGUUUAAAGGGUGCGUAGGCGGGCUUUUAAGUCAGCGGUAAAAAUUCGGGGCUCAACCCCGUCCGGCCGUUGAAACUGGGGGCCUUGAGUGGGCGAGAAGAAGGCGGAAUGCGUGGUGUAGCGGUGAAAUGCAUAGAUAUCACGCAGAACCCCGAUUGCGAAGGCAGCCUCCCGGCGCCCUACGGACGCUGAGGCACGAAAGCGUGGGGAGCAAACAGG
rnacentral:rRNA from 1 species